UCAUCCCUCAAGCCCUCUCUGGCUUGGUGUUGGAGGUGUCGGGUCGACCGUCUCCCGGUUCCCGACCUUCUUAAACGCAAUGACGGUGUUCCGGCGGACUCUGUGGUACAAUGAGCUGUGGCCUUGGUGCCUGCACGUAUCGUGGAUCUCCCGGACGGCCGGUCUUUUUCCACAAGAGACUUCGGUCUCUCUCGAAA
rnacentral:misc_RNA from 1 species